UGUAGUGAAUGAGGCAGAGGAUUUCAGGAAGAAAAGGAUGGUUAAGGAAAUUGAUUGCCCCCCUGGACAACUGGAGUCUCUCUCUGCCAUGGAGCUCCUAUAUGAUGCUAGAAUGUGAAUAUUCCAGCUGUUUUGGAGACUCAAAGGAAAGAGCAUUGUGCUCGUGCAUGUGAACCAGGAAGUGAGGCUGGCUGGUCUCCUUGCACAUUCCAAGAUGAGCAAAGUGUAAAAGGAGCCUUAUUAUUCAUCAUAUAUGGGAAGAAGAGAACCCAACUUGACUUCAUGCUUUCAGGAUGAGUUUGUGGCUCCUGAGGAGUGCAACUUCUGUGUUAUGAUUCUGGGUAGGGUUCAGUGCUCACAGCCAUCAAUGGGCAGCCAGAUCUACCGGCCAGUUGAAGAGAGGGGCAGUACUCUGGCCAAACCAUCUCGCCUCUUUUGAAGGGGAUUAGCACCUGUGGGGACAGUAGCUGUGAACAGUCCUCUGCUUAGGCUGCAAUUGUGGCUGGCCUAUUUGUGGAGAGUCACAGGGGAGGGAGAAAGCACCUUUUACUGCUUCCUUCUCUUUUGCGAUGGACAAGUUUUGCAUUUACUUAUCACAAAACUGUUCAAGUUACUUUCUGAAGAAGGCAAAAUCAAACAAUAUUAAAAGAAAUUGAUUUCUCCCAGAUUUUUGGAAACAUAAUGAAUAGUCAGCCUUUGAGAGUUUCACUUCUAGGCAAAACUGCUUUCAUGAUUCUAGUUAGACAUAGAGCUGUGAGAAUUGCUUGCAGCCAAAACCGUGUGAAAUUCACCUGGGUUGGGGUUUUGUA